rnacentral:rRNA from 1 species
AUUGAACGCUGGCGGCAUGCCUUACACAUGCAAGUCGAACGGUAACAGGUCUUCGGAUGCUGACGAGUGGCGAACGGGUGAGUAAUACAUCGGAACGUGCCCGAGAGUGGGGGAUAACGAGGCGAAAGCUUUGCUAAUACCGCAUACGAUCUCAGGAUGAAAGCAGGGGACCGCAAGGCCUUGCGCUCACGGAGCGGCCGAUGGCAGAUUAGGUAGUUGGUGGGAUAAAAGCUUACCAAGCCGACGAUCUGUAGCUGGUCUGAGAGGAAGACCAGCCCCAGUGGGACUGAGAUACGGCCCAGACUCCGCCGGGAGGCAGCAGUGGGGAAUUUUGGACAAUGGGCGCAAGCCUGAUCCAGCAAUGCCGCGUGCAGGAAGAAGGCCUUCGGGUUGUAAACUGCUUUUGUACGGAACGAAACGGUCCUGGUUAAUACCCGGGGCUAAUGACGGUACCGUAAGAAUAAGCACCGGCUAACUACGUGCCAGCAGCCGCCGUAACAC